rnacentral:rRNA from 1 species
GAUGAACGCUCGACACGAAGUGCUUAACACAUGGCAAGUCUACUUGAUCCUUCGGGGUGAGUGGUAGGGCGGACGGGUGAGUAACGCGUAAAGAACUUGCCCUGCAGUCUGGGACAACAUUUGGAAACGAAUGCUAAUACCGGAUAUUAUGUGAGUUUCGCAUGAAAUUCAUAUGAAAGUUAUAUGCGCUGCAGGAGAGCUUUGCGUCCUAUUAGCUAGUUGGUGAGGUAACGGCUCACCAAGGCGAUGAUAGGUAGCCGGCCUGAGAGGGUGAACGGCCACAAGGGGACUGAGACACGGCCCUU